AUGAAGUAUGGAAGGGUGGAUGUUGUUGGGCCGGAGCAAUGCCCUGAGGAGGGGAGGCUUCCUGAUGCUGGUCCUCCAUCACCUGCUGCACAUCUACGAGAAGUUUUCUACAGAAUGGGGUUGAAUGACAAGGAAAUAGUUGCAUUAUCUGGGGCACACACGCUAGGGAGAGCUAGGCCAGAACGCAGUGGUUGGGGCAAGCCAGAGACCAAAUAUACG
rnacentral:misc_RNA from 1 species